AUUUAAAUUUGAAGUUCGGGUAAACAUGGAAGAAGUUUUUAGUAUUAGGUAGGUCCCAUGAUAAUAUUUGGGACAUACUUAUACUAAAAAAAAUUGUUGUUUAUCUGACAUUUGAAUUGAAC
rnacentral:miRNA from 1 species